GUGCAAAGGUUUCCUCGGGCCGGAUGGAGAUUGGCCCUCGAGUGCAAAGGCAUAAGGGAGUUUGACUGCAAGACCCACCCGUAAAGCAGGGACGAAAGUUGACCUUAGUGAUCCGACAGUGCCGAGUGGAAGGGCGGUCGAUCAAC
rnacentral:ncRNA from 1 species